GCUUAACACAUGCAAGUCGAGCGGUAAGGCCCUUCGGGGUACACGAGCGGCGAACGGGUGAGUAACACGUGGGUGAUCUGCCUCGUACUCUGGGAUAAGCCUGGGAAACUGGGUCUAAUACCGGAUAUGACCACGCACUGCAUGGUGUGUGGUGGAAAGAUUUAUCGGUGCGAGAUGGGCCCGCGGCCUAUCAGCUUGUUGGUGGGGUAACGGCCUACCAAGGCGACGACGGGUAGCCGACCUGAGAGGGUGAUCGGCCACACUGGGACUGAGACACGGCCCAGACUCCUACGGGAGGCAGCAGUGGGGAAUAUUGCACAAUGGGCGGAAGCCUGAUGCAGCGACGCCGCGUGAGGGAUGACGGCCUUCGGGUUGUAAACCUCUUUCGACAGGGACGAAGCGCAAGUGACGGUACCUGUAGAAGAAGCACCGGCCAACUACGUGCCAGCAGCCGCGGUAAUACGUAGGGUGCGAGCGUUGUCCGGAAUUACUGGGCGUAAAGAGCUUGUAGGCGGUCUGUCACGUCGAUCGUGAAAACUCGCGGCUCAACUGCCAGCCUGCGGUCGAUACGGGCAGACUAGAGUACUUCAGGGGAGACUGGAAUUC
rnacentral:rRNA from 1 species